rnacentral:lncRNA from 1 species
UUCCCUGCAGGACGCCUGAUGGGUUUAUCUUUUGUGUUCUCCACAGCUGUUGCUUAUUGUGGCUUAGCCUUCUGCAUCUGAGAAGCAGGCACGGUUAGUGUUUGAAAAGAACCAGGGCAGAAAUUACAGGCCAAAGAAGUGGCUAAAGUGGUUCUCAAGGUGCUGGUCCCUGGGCCAGACUGUCAGCCUCACCUGGGAACUUAUCAGAAGUGCAAAUACUCGGGACCUUCAGACUCAGAAACUCUGGGGGAGGAACCCAGGAAAACGUGUCUGUACAAGCUCUCUAGAUGCUGCUGCACUAAGAGUUUGAGAAGUUUGAGAACCACGGGACUAGAGGAGGGUCUUCAACUACUGACUGAGGAGUGAACGACCCUGGUUUUCUAAGAGCAGGAUGGAAGACCAAGUGGCAAUCAAGGUGAGAACACUGGAGUUCAGACUGGCUGGAAACUGUGCUAAAGUCGGGAUCUGGUUCCAAAUCCUGCCUCUGACCCUGGGCUUGAUUCCUCAGCUCCACUCUGCGUCCUGCACCUCCCUCCAGAUUAGGACACUCGACGGCAUCCUCCUCCCACAGGCUGAUAGCUGCAUGUAAGUGUGUGUGGGGUGAUGGAAAGUAAAUUAAAUUGGGAGGAGGUGUCUUUUCAAAGUGAUGAAAAUUAGGAAUUCCACCCUACCUAAAAACCUUCCCCAAUUGUGACUGCAUGCUUUGCAAAGAACUUCAAAGGACAAUGGAGUUUGGGAGAUGAAAUCCAUUUAAAUUUCUUUUAAAUCUGGAUUUUAAGAUCUGAUCAUGCUUCUCGAUCAUCAGUGCCUUUUGCUACAGGAUUUGUCCCUCUGUCCAUUCAGAAGGCGGCUCACAACAUCCAGGGUUUCGGCUCAGAAGCCCAACAGCAAAGGAGCUGGUUCGAUCUACCCUUGACUGAUAUUGCCGGUAUAAAACGUUUCUGACCACUCCUGGUUAACUAAUCAUUCGAAAAUGAGGGCUACCUUUACCUGAGGAGAAGGCUGUGGAAGGGAAAUAAUUACAGCAACAGCAGCUCUAAAUGCCGCUCUUAUCUAUUUUUAAAUGCCUGCCAGAUGUCUGUAACUGACACUCUUAAUCAGUGCUUUGAGUUCAGAUGUGUUCAUCAGAAUCUGACCAUGCUGCUGUUUCAUGGAUCUUUCUGGGGUUGAUUUUUUGCCUUCAAUUUUCAAAAACAUCCUAGUUAGCAACUCAAGUACAGUGUCAUGCCAACAGUUAACAAUACUGUUUUCUUUUUCUUCCAUUUUGGUUUUGUUUGCUUUAUUUUUUUUUAACAAUAUGGUUUUGUGCACUUAAACAUGUAUUAAGACAGUAGAUCUCAAAUAUUCUUACCCCAGUUUUUAAAAAGGAAAGAAAACCUGUUUCAAAGACUCAGUGAAUGUUUACACCGGCCAUUUUGAAAUGCCUGAGAGCUGUGCAGCAGCUUUCAUUCCUGUCAUCAGACAAGGGACCGCUGGGUCCCUUCUCAAAGUUAUUCCCAUAAAAGGAAUAACUUUUGACUGAAACACUCAAAUAUGUCAGGCAGAAGUACCGACGGGGGGGCUGCGUCACCUGGGUUGUUACCUCAGAU